AAUAACCGCAAUGUUAUUAUCACAACUAACAAAACUAAUAACUUCCCUUAAUAUUUCUAAUAUCCAAUCCAUACACAAAUUUCCCCAGUUCCCAAUUGUCUUCUGGUUUUCUCCUACCAGGAUCUGAUCCAUGACCACCUACUGUAUUUCACCUUACGCCAAAGUUUACCCCGUAACCUCUAGGGUUUGGUAGGACCUGGGCUCCAGCUAUUAAUACAGGCCGUUCAUCUUAUUACUCCCUCUUUACGGCCCCGUCCCCACCUCGGCCCCGACACACUCGAAAUCCGCGAGGAGUCGCGGAGUUUCUCUGGGAAAUGUAGUCCCCUAUACCACCACUCCCCGAGCUGCAUUCUAGGAACGGAUAUCCUGGACUUUCCCAUGCGCAUGUGCAACCAACCCCACUUCCCUGCUUCCGCCCUCUCAGGCCUUGAGGUGCGGCCGUUUUGCCCUCAGGCCUAAAUCUCCACGUCUGGAACAAAGUAACUCUUAUGUGGCAGGCAGGAGAGGAGCUCUGGGGACAGGAAUCCCACCUGGAAGAAGAGCUCAUCCAACAGGAACCACCCUCACCAGAGCUUCAGAACAUGCAGAAGAACCUAGAAAGGAGUGGGUCCUAAUUUGCUCCACCAGAAACAGUUCUAAUUUCCUUGUCCAGAAAGAGCCAGAUUUGGUGAUGUUACCACAUACAGAAGCUAUCACAGACUGUGUGAAUGGAAACUGGACCAGCUUGCAGAAGCUUACCCAUCACAGUUCUCUGUACUCUCCCAACAACAGCAGAAAAUGAACACAUCUCAGAGGCAGAGAGAAUGAGCAGGAGGAGCGGAGGAGGAGAGGGGGAGAGAGAGAAUCUCAAGCAGACUCCAUGCUGAGCCUGACUCAAGGCUCCAUCUCACAACCAUCAGUUGUGAUCACAACCUGAGCCAAAACCAGCAGCCAAAUACCACCCAGAUGCCCCUGUAGAUUCUUUUAGAUUUUUUUAAAUAUGCACAAUCAUGUCUUUUGCAAAUACAGACAUUUUUACUUAUUCCUUUCCAAUCUUUAUAUCUUUAAUUUGUUUUUAAGCCUUAUUCUUGUCUUUCUAGUACAAAGUUGAAUACAAGUGAUGAUAAUAGAAAUCCUUGUUUUAUACCUCACCUGAAGAAGAAAAUACUCUGUAUUUCAUCACUGAGUCUGGAUUUAACUCUAGGAUUUUUAUACACAUUGUUUAUAGAAUAAGGAAGUUCUAUUUUUAGUUUCCUCAGAGCUGUUAAUCAUACAUACAUAUUAUACUUUGUGAAAUGCUUUUUCUAAAUCUAGUGAGAUAAUAAUAUAAUUUUCUUCCUUAAUUCUGUUAAAAGAAUGAAUUAUAUUGACUGAUUUAUCAGUGUUUAACUAAUCUUGGAAUCCUGAGAGAAGUCCCACCUGGCCAUAAAAUACUAUCUUUUAAUGUGUCUCUGGAUGUAGUUUGUUAAUAUUUCAGUUAGUAUUUUUAAAUAUGCAUUAGUGGAGAGAUAAUU
rnacentral:lncRNA from 1 species